UUUUUGAUGGCCGAGAUUUUAGGCCGUAGAUUUUUAAUCUGCUUACGGAGUUUCUCCUCUUGCGUUGGC
rnacentral:tRNA from 1 species